CGGGGUGUAGCGCAGACUGGUAGCGCAUCGGUCUGGGGGACCGGAGGUCGCCGGUUCAAGUCCGGCCACCCCGACCA
rnacentral:tRNA from 1 species